rnacentral:rRNA from 1 species
UACGUAGGGUGCAAGCGUUGUCCGGAAUUAUUGGGCGUAAAGGGCUCGUAGGCGGUCCAUCGCGUCGGGAGUGAAAAGCUGGGGCUCAACCCCAGUCCUGCUUCCGAUACGGGUGGACUAGAGGUAUGCAGGGGAGAACGGAAUUCCUGGUGUAGCGGUGAAAUGCGCAGAUAUCAGGAAGAACACCCGUGGCUAAGGCGGUUCUCUAGUACGGUACUGACGCUGAGACGCGAAAGCAUGGGGAGCGAACAGG